CAUGUCCUUUUGAUUUGAAUUUAAGGUCUAAUCUGCUCAAUGAUUAUUUAAAUUGCCGCAGUAUUUUAACUGUGCAAAGGUAGCAUAAUAAAUAGUUUCUUAAUUAGAAGCUGGGAUGAAUGAUUGGACGAGAAAAUAACUGUCUCUUUUUAAUUGGUUAUUGAAUUUUAUUUUUAAGUAAAAAAGCUUAAAUUUAAAUAAAAGACGAGAAGACCCUAUAGAGUUUAAUAUUUGAAUAUUAUUAAUUUAUGGAAUAUUAUUUGGUGUUUAAGUAUUUAAUUGGGGUGAUUUGGAGAUUUAAAUAAUUCUUUAAUUUAUUUGUUGCUGAUUAGUAAUUUUGAAAUCUAAAAUUUUUAAGUUUAAUAUAAAUUACCUUAGGGAUAACAGCGUAAUUUUUCUUUAAAGUUCUUAUUGAAAGAAAAUUUUGCGACCUCGAUGUUGGAUUAAUAUUUAUUUUCGGAGUAGUUCCUGAAAGAUUAGGUCUGUUCGACCUUUAAAAUUUUACAUGAUCUGAGUUUAAAUCGGCGUAAGCCAGGUUGGAUUCUAUCUUUAGUUUUUUAACAUAUUUUAGUUCGAAAGGACCAAGUAUGCAUUAUAUAUUAAUUG
rnacentral:rRNA from 1 species